AUAGAGCCUUUCAUGAAGGAACCAUGGCAGCUAAUGGGCUCAACUUAGAAUGGUUUAGCUGGUCAUCACUCAUGAGCCCUGGCUGGUAACUCUGAGCUGACAGUUGGGCUGUUCCAAAGGGAUUAGCUGUAUGGCUUAGAAAAUGGGAAGUAGAGAGAUAGAGAGAUGAUCAUAAGUAGGUCCUGUGGGACAGGAUAUGUGGUAAGACAUUUGGGUUCAACUUUAAGACCCAUUGUCUCAAACUUCACUGUUUUCCAUGCCUUAGCUCAUAAGUUGUUGACACCCCCUGACAAUCAGCAAGCUGAUGCCCUAGCUGGGGUGUGAGCCCUAGCAACUGACCUUUUAGUAUAUACAGCAGAUUGGGUGCAUAGAAAAAGGGGCCAUUGUGGCACCUGGGGGGAAUGGCACAUUGCUAAGGAUGCUGAUUGCCUUUGAAAUACAAGAACUUGGUUAAUGCAGUAACAACAUGCCUCAUGUGUUCUAAGCAAUGCUCAAGGCAACUGCCAAAGUAGUCUAGGGCCAUCAUUAAGAGUUCCCAACCAGUAAAGGAUUGGCACAUUGGUUACAUUGUAUAUGUGACCGCCCAGUGAAGGCCUCUAUAUAAACUUUUAAGAUUCUGGUGGGUGACCUUAGGGAGAUAUUCAUUUUGUAGCCUCCUAAAAUAAGCCUUGUGUGUAAGUUUCCUUGCUUAUUAAAACUGUCACUCAGCACCCUGGAGUGCCCUGUCUCUUUCUCCAGUUGUCUUUGCCCUCCAGGUAUAGGGCCACUUUCAGAUUUUAUCCAGGAAACCCCCAAAGUUGCAACCAGCACUUACUAUAUUAUAGAUUUAUGGAUGAAUGUUAUAUUUUCCUUAUAUAAUCUAUAUUAUUUAAGCUAAAUACAAUGAUAAUGUAGUAAACUCAAAUUAGAAAUCAGAACACAAUAUUUUUUAAAAGACAAACAAUUUUAAAGGAAAAGAAGAGAUUUCUGAUUAUGCCUUUCAGAGCUUCUAUCAUUAUUCUUCAUUUAUUUUUUCAGGUUAUCACCUCAAUUUCACAAAUGUUCUUCAUGGAAGCCUAGGAAGUAAACCUGGGUCAUGGAGGACAUGGUUCCAAUGCUCAGUUUCUUUUGAAAAAUUUUCAUCCAAACAUGAAUUCACAGAGGUGCUGAUCAGGAGCCAGUUAUAUCAAGUAAUAAUGCGAGACAUUGCAAAUUGCAGGUCUCAUUUGAUAGCUUAUUUAAAUACAACAUUAAAUCUCUUAUACUUGUAGCUUAUCAUGUAAAGUUCAUUUCAUCACCCAUUGCCAUUGGUUGCCCAAUACAGUCAGCUUUGAAUUAAAAAAAAAAAAUGUGUCAUUGAGAGAAGAGCAUAUCAUUUUAUUAGAGUAAUUUCUCUCAACUGUUUUCUCCUAUAUAGUCUAUUUAAUAAACAAAAACAUUGUCAAG
rnacentral:lncRNA from 12 species